GAGCGCCUACCUACCCUUGUAAUUGAAUUGCCAUAUGCACAUAUAAUACACUAGUUUACAAUACACUAGUUUACAGGUAGUAUAUACAAUGUGGCUUCUAAAAUCUGUAGUGUUAAAGUAUACACAUCAAGCUGGUGGUGGUUGGUAGAGUGAGACUCGUCUGUGGAUGAGUGCUCUGGUCUGCCUCCACAGUUUCUGUGCCUCAGAUUCAUCACAGGCCAGAGCUGAGCAGCUGCUUUCAUUACAGUCUGUGAAGUAUUUGCCACUUACACCUUCUGUCUGUGGACUCAAGGCAACAUAACAUGUGGUUGAUGCACCCUGAGA
rnacentral:misc_RNA from 1 species